UUCCUUAACAAUCUAGCCGCACCAAACAUCCUUCCUUCUCCUUUUCUUCUUCGAAAGCGGCAGAACAAGAAGCAGCCAUGAGGUCACCUGUAGUGAUAGUGGUAGCUGAGUCUUCCGGCUUAGAGGCUUUCUUCGCCAAACAUGGUCAGUCCCGGCAAACCCCUCUUCUUCUCCCUCGAUUUUCCGGUGAGUAGGGCGGUGGCAGUUCCGUAAGAGGGGGGCGGUGGGCAGCUUCGUUGGAGGCAAGAUGUUGGCGGUGGUUGAAUUUGGUUCUCCGGCUGCAAGCUGCGAGCUUUUCCCCUCCGGCGACCUUGGUGAGCAGCGGCAACCCUUCCCCUGUUUCUGGCAGUGGUUGAGCAGAUGGUGGCGCAGCUCGGACAACGCGGCGACGUCGGUUUCGAAGCCCGGUGGUGUGGGUUCAGCGUUGGCAGCUUGGAAGUAGCGGCGUGGUGUCUCCUUCUCGACGGAAUGGACGAAGCUCCUCGGCUUGGUGGCUGUACGUGGUGACCGAUGGGUGGGGGAACUUACCGCCGUUCCACCCGCGGCCUUGCAUGAAGAAGAUGAAGAUGACGAUGGCAUGGUUCUCGUUGUUUGGCUCAUGAGUUGAGCCUAGCCUAAGUUUGGCGUUGGAUUUGGUUUGUUAAGCGAAUGAGGUUGGGUAGCUUUGGAAAGCACGCUAGUGUCCUGUAGAUAGAUUAAUCUCUUCCUUUAAUAGUUGUUGAGGCCUGUGAGCCUAAGUAGUUGAUUUGUUAGGCUCCUUAGUUGUAGUAUCUGCCUGUGCACCUAUGUUUGUUAUAGGUGUGGCAUAGAACCUUCCGGUUUGUUUAGUUAGCUUCCGCCUUGUUUAAUCUU